rnacentral:pre_miRNA from 12 species
UGGCCGGCGGGGCGCGCGCGACAGGGAGGGGCGGGGCGGACGCGGAGCCGCGGUUAGUCUGGCGCAGCGGUCGCGAGCGCGUUAGGCGACCCGUGCUG